GGGACGAACGCUGGCGGCGUGCUUAACACAUGCAAGUCGAGCGGAAAGGCCCUUCGGGGGUACUCGAGCGGCGAACGGGUGAGUAACACGUGAGUAACCUGCCCCUAGCUCUGGGAUAGCUCCGGGAAACCGGGAUUAAUACCAGAUACGACCACUUUAGACAUCUGUCGUGGUGGAAAGGAUUCCGGCUAGGGAUGGGCUCGCGGCCUAUCAGCUUGUGGUGGGUAACGCCUACCAAGGCGACGACGGGUAG
rnacentral:rRNA from 1 species